AUCAGAAGAAGCUGAAGCAAAC
rnacentral:sRNA from 1 species